AGGCCCCUCCUUCCCGGCCACAGCUCCCUCUCACCCCUGCCACGUCAAAGGAGACAGAAGGGGAGCCGGGAGCAGAGAGGGGACCU
rnacentral:pre_miRNA from 1 species